GAUGAACGCUGGCGGCGUGCCUAAUACAUGCAAGUCGAGCGAACGGACGAGAAGCUUGCUUCUCUGAUGUUAGCGGCGGACGGGUGAGUAACACGUGGAUAACCUACCUAUAAGACUGGGAUAACUUCGGGAAACCGGAGCUAAUACCGGAUGAUAUUUUGAACCGCAUGGUUCAAAAGUGAAAGACGGUCUUGCUGUCACUUAUAGAUGGAUCCGCGCUGCAUUAGCUAGUUGGUAAGGUAACGGCUUACCAAGGCAACGAUGCAUAGCCGACCUGCGAGGGUGAUCGGCCACACUGGAACUGAGACACGGUCCAGACUCCUACGGGAGGCAGCAGUAGGGAAUCUUCCGCAAUGGGCGAAAGCCUGACGGAGCAACGCCGCGUGAGUGAUGAAGGUCUUCGGAUCGUAAAACUCUGUUAUUAGGGAAGAACAUAUGUGUAAGUAACUGUGCGCAUCUUGACGGUACCUAAUCAGAAAGCCGCGGCUAACUACGUG
rnacentral:rRNA from 1 species